UGGAGCGGCAAGUACGAGGCGCACCUCUGAGACAAAACCAGCCAGGUCGAGGGCCGCAAGCGCAAGGGCAAGCACGAUUUCUGACUAUGAGAAAGAAAUCGAGAUUAUAAAGACCAUGUCUCAAGAUGAAUUUGUAGCAUACAUAAGGAGGCAAAGCAGUUGUUUCUCAAGAGGUAUUUCAUCAUACAGGGGUGUGACCAGGUGAUGUUCCUUCUUUGCUAAAUGAACUAAUAACCAUUUGGUAUCCUUUGAAUGGAGCAAAAAAAAUGUUUUGCUUAACUAGGGACAUUUGAAUGGUCUGUUGCAAUUUUGCAACUUUCUCUAAUCACUUUUUUUACCAACUGACGAAAAGACGGUAAAUGGCAAGCACGAAUUGGUAGGAUUGGUGAGAGUAGAGACACCAAAGACAUUUACCUUGGGACUUUCGACACCGAAGAAGAGGCGGCAGAAGCUUAUGACAUAGCAGCAAUUGAGCUUCGUGGUGUUCAUGCCGUUACCAACUUUGACAUUAGUAACUACUGUGAAGAUGGUUUGUGAAAACUAGAAGGCCCGUCAGAAGUGGCGAAGCUGGAAGUUCCAUCGGAGGUCAUGAAGCUCGCUGGACAAUAGACACUAGAAAUCUAGAAUAGCAACAUGUACAUAAUUUCUCCAUUUCAUUUCCUUUGUCAUAAUAUUUCACCCUCCUUUUGGUAUUCCUGUUACCUUCUUUUUUCCCCCUUCGUGAGUUUUCACCGCGCCUUGUUGUGUAAGCCAGUAUUUACUGGCUCUGAAGGACAGUGUGAUAUUGUAUUCCAGCCUCACCAAAAGGUCUUACUAACCUUUGAUGCAGAGCGAAAGUUACAAUGUCGUAGCUUGAUGGAUGGUUGUUUUUGUUUUAA